AACGGCGAGUGAAGCGGGAAGAGCUCAAAUUUGAAAUCUUCAAGGUUCUACCUUGACGAAUUGUAGUUUAAAGAAGUGUUUUCUGUUAGAUGAGUAGCAAAAGUUCCUUGGAAUGGGACAUCAUAGAGGGUGAGAAUCCCGUAUUUGGUUAUUCAUUCUAGCUUUGUGAUACACUUUCAAAGAGUCGGAUUGUUUGGGAAUGCAGUCCAAAAUGGGUGGUAAAUUUCAUCUAAAGCUAAAUAUUGGCGAGAGACCGAUAGCGAACAAGUACCGUGAGGGAAAGAUGAAAAGAACUUUGAAAAGAGAGUUAAACAGUACGUGAAAUUGUCAAAAGGGAAGCGUUUGACACCAGUGUUGUUUUUCCGAAAAUCAAUUACGAAUGGCUUGAUUUUGUGUUGUAUUGACCUUAUCAGCUUUCUUCACUUUUUUCGAGUCUUUCUUAAUGCACUUUUCGGUUAACAAGUCAACAUCAAUUUCUUUUGUUGUAAAAGAGUAUUCGGAAGGUGGCUUUCUUUUCGGAGAAAGUGUUUAUAGCCCUAUACUUCUACAAUCGGAGAGAUUGAGGUCUGCAGCGUAGAUCCUUCGGGGUUAGAUACACUUGUGCUAAGUUGUAGCUUUUCAUAGACAACUUGUUGACUAUGUUUAGUCAUGCGGCUUACUCGCUUGUGCUAUUUACCUAC
rnacentral:rRNA from 1 species